GAUGAACGCUGGCGGCGUGCCUAAUACAUGCAAGUCGAGCGAACAGACGAGGAGCUUGCUCCUCUGACGUUAGCGGCGGAAGGGUGAGUAACACGUGGAUAACCUACCUAUAAGACUGGGAUAACUUCGGGAAACCGGAGCUAAUACCGGAUAAUAUAUUGAACCGCAUGGUUCAAUAGUGAAAGACGGUUUUGCUGUCACUUAUAGAUGGAUCAGCGCCGCAUUAGCUAGUUGGCAAGGUAACGGCUUACCAAGGCGACGAUGCGUAGCCGACCUGAGAGGGGGAUCGGCCACACUGGAACUGAGACACGGUCCAGACUCCUACGGGAGGCAGCAGUAGGGAAUCGUCCGCAAUGGGCGAAAGCCUGACGGAGCACCGCCGCGUGAAUGAGGAAGGUCUUCGGAUCGUAAAACUCUGUUAUUAGGGAAGAACAAAUGUGUACGUAAAUAUGCACGUCUUGACGGUACCUUAUCAGAAAGCCACGGCUAACUACGUG
rnacentral:rRNA from 1 species